GUCGUGGCCGAGUGGUUAAGGCGACAGACUAGAAAUCUGUUUCGAUUUUCCCGCGCAGGUUCAAAUCCUGCCGAC
rnacentral:tRNA from 1 species